UCGACUAAUUGUAUUUGGCACACCCUUUGUCCUAGGACGAAAUAACCAACGAAACAGACGCUCAACCGUUGACCGCGACCACCACCACCACCACCACCAGGGGUGAUGGCUACGCAGCUUCCACCUCUCCGCCACAUCUUGGCCUUCGACACCAUGUUCUCUCACCUUCUUCAUUCCCUUUUCCACUCAUACCUCCCUGCUUCGCUUCUCCUCGUCCUUGAACUGUUGGCUGACUUCCGCUUUUCCUUUCCCAUUACGCUCGCCCUAUGCCUUUCCCCUCUCUCCCCCUCCCUCCUCCCUUUCUUUUCUCCUCUCCUCUUCGGCCUCCUCCUCGACAUCGCCUUCGUUGGCCUAAUCAAGAUCAUUUUCCGCCGUCCUCGCCCUCCCUACAAUCCUAACAUGUCCGCUGUCGUUUCCGCUGACAACUUCUCCUUCCCCAGUGGCCACGCCUCCCGCGUUUUUCUCGUCGCUACCCUAGUUUCGCUUUCUGCGGACGCCAUUGAAGCGGCUCUGACGGAUUUGAGGGCGAAUGACGGAUUUGCCCACCGGUGGAUUGCAGGGGACGACACCAAAGUGGUGGGGAUUGUGGUAUUGGUUGUUCGAGUAUGGGCAGCAGUAACGGCGUUGUCUAGGGUUUUGCUCGGUAGGCAUUUUUUUAUCGACGUUUUAGCGGGGGCGUGUUUGGGCGUCUUUGAAGCUCUCCUUGCUUUUCAAUUCCUGCAAAUUGAGGAAUAUUUGAGUUCCAUAAAGGGAGAUCAGCACAAAUCAGCAGAAUCUUACUCUCAGAACUUCAUAGCCGGUUAAUCAAGACUGAUGUCAGCUUGGAUAGCAAACUUUUUUCUCAACACAUAGGCAUGAAUGCUACCCUUUCUAGGAUCUUUUUGGCCCAGCCUUCGUGAUCAUUAAUUCAUUAUUGAAUGUAGCGUUCCAAUUUGGCCUUUUGGUUUAGGAAAAUUGCAUGCUUACACAUUAUGGGCUUAAAACAGAGAGCAGAGAGCCUAUCGCUUUAUCAGAAAGUUGGCCAAGGUCACAGUUAAGUGCUUUGGAGUUGCAGCUGUAGGAGAGCAUCUCGUGCAAUAUACUGGGCAGACGUAUCUAAAAUUCUCUAGAUGGCAGAUACAUGUUAAGGAUAUCUAUUAACAAAUGUCUGCAAUGUCUAGAAAAUGUUGCAUUGCUUCAUUUUUUGCCAGAGACAUUGAAUACUGGAACAUGAACCACUUCGUAUUUCCAAACUCAUACUCUGUUGAUUUCGACAACUGCUUUUGGCAGUAAAUGUGUAUUCCAGUUUGUAUAUUCAUUUUUAACUAUGUAUUUGAUUAAUUUUCUAUUCUCUUCAAUUUGUUAAAUUUUUUGUUGAAUA